rnacentral:rRNA from 1 species
CAAUAGCGUAUACUAAAGUUGUUGCGGUAAAAAAGCUCGUAGUUGGAUUUCUACCGAAGAUAGCCGGUCGGGUCUUCGACCUUGUAUCUGGUUUUGUCUUUGGUAUCCUCAUAGGGAACGUUUCUGCGCUUUAUUGCGUGGUGCGGUAUCUAUGACUUUUACUUUGAGGAAAUUAGAGUGUUCACGGCAGGCAAACGCCUUGAAUAUAUUAGCAUGGAAUAAUAACAUAGGAUCUUCGUCCUAUUUUGUUGGUUUCUAGGGCUAAGAUAAUGAUUAAUAGGGAUAAUUGGGGGCAUCUGUAUCAACGCGUCAGAGGUGGAAUUCUUGGAUUGCGUUGCGACAAACUACUGCGAAAGCAUUUGCCAAGGAUGUUUUCAUUGA